rnacentral:snRNA from 1 species
CUCAUUUUUCGGUCGUUUGGUUAAGGUCAAGUGUAAUGUUUGUUUUACCGGUACAAUAUCUGGUAUAUGAACAAUAUGUUCACUUUAACAUUAAAUUCAUUUAUUACGGAUAUUUU